GGAUGUGAGGGCAAUAUGGCUGCAACAUCUGUCACACCAUUGAUCGCUAGGGUUUAUUUGGCUGAUCUGGCUGGCUAGGCGAUUAUCCCCUUCCUCCCUCACCGUUCCAUGUGUGUCCCUCCCGAAGCUGUGCAUUCAGUCGAAGAGGAUGGCCUUCCCUGAAUAGAGAUGGACUGGUCUUCGGUCGAGGGUAUAUGAGUAGCUGCGCUCCCCUGCUAGAACCUCCAAACAAGCUCUCAAUCCAAUAAGUAGAGAUAAAAAGAAAUAUAGAUAUGUAUUUUCCCUCAAAAUCAUUGUGGGGAUCAUU
ensembl:misc_RNA 7SK 7SK RNA